AGGCCAUGGAGAACAUAAACCGUC
rnacentral:siRNA from 1 species